rnacentral:tRNA from 1 species
UUGUUCGAUGGCUGAGUGCGAAGGCGGUAGACUGUAGAUCUAUUAACGGAGUUAAUUCUCCUCAACAAAC